UGAAUACGAGAUGCUACGGCGUCGAAGCAGUCUAUGUCAUACUUCCAAGAAAAGCUCGCACUGUCAUAAACAAAUAAUGCCUGUACCAUAACCGACACAGGUGGGUAGGUAGAGUAUACUAAGGGGCGCGAGAUAACUCUCUCUAAGGAACUCGGCAAAAUGACUCCGUAACUUCGGGAGAAGGAGUGCCUUAUUUAUAAGGUUGCAAUAACAAGAUCCAAGCAACUGUUUAUCAAAAACACAGGUCUCCGCUAAGUCGUAAGACGAUGUAUGGGGGCUGACGCCUGCCCAGUGCCAGAAGGUUAAAGAAGUUGGUUAGCAUUCGCGAAGCUGAUAACUGAAGCCCUGGUGAACGGCGGCCGUAACGAUAACGGUCCUAAGGUAGCGAAAUUCCUUGUCGGGUAAGUUCCGACCCGCACGAAAGGCGUAAUGAUUUGGAUACUGUCUCGGAGAGGGGCUCGGUGAAAUAGACUUGUCUGUGAAGAUGCGGACUACCUGCACCAGGACAGAAAGACCCUAUGAAGCUUUACUGUAACUUGAGAUUGAAAUUGGACUUUACUUGCGCAGUAUAGGUGGGAGGCGUUGAUAAUAUUCUUGCGGGAUUAUUUGAGCCAUCAGUGAGAUACCACUCUUGUAAUGUUAGAUUUCUAACUUUGUAUCAUUAUCUGGUCAAAGGACAGUUUCAGGCGGGCAGUUUGACUGGGGCGGUCGCCUCCUAAACGGUAACGGAGGCGCACAAAGGUUUCCUCUGAACGGGUAGAAAUCGUAUCUAGAGUGUACGCAUAAGGAAGCUUGACUGUGAGACCUACAAGUCGAGCAGGGACGAAAGUCGGUCUUAGUGAUCUGACGGUGCUGAGUGGAAAGGCCGUCACUCAACGGAUAAAAGUUACUCUAAGGAUAACAGGCUGAUCUCCCCCAAGAGUUCACAUCGACGGGGAGGUUUGGCACCUCGAUGUCGGCUCAUCGCAUCCUGGGGCGGUAGUACGUCCCAAGGGUUGGGCUGUUCGCCCAUGAAAGCGGUACGCGAGCUGGGUUCAGAACGUCGUGAGACAGUUCGGUCCAUAUCCGGUGUAGGCGUUAGAAUAUUGAGAGGAGCCUUCUUUAGUACGAGAGGACCGAGAAGGACAUACCUCUGGUGUACCAGUUAUCGUGCCAACGGUAAACGCUGGGUAGCUAUGUAUGGAGUGGAUAACCGCUGAAAGCAUCUAAGUGGGAAGCCCACCUCAAGAUAAGUAUUCUCAGC
rnacentral:rRNA from 1 species